rnacentral:rRNA from 1 species
AUUGAACGCUGGCGGUAUGCCUAACACAUGCAAGUCGAACGGCAGCACGGUAGAGACUUCGGUUUUUAUGGGUGGCGAGUGGCGGACGGGUGAGUAAUAGGUAGGAAUCUGUCCUGGAGAGGGGGAUAACUUGCGGAAACGCGAGCUAAUACCCCAUGAUAUUGAGAGAUCAAAAGCAGGGGACCAGCAAUGGCCUUGCGCUCUAGGGUGAGCCUACGUCGGAUUAGCUAGUUGGUGGGGUAAAGGCCUACCAAGGCGACGAUCCGUAGCUGGUCUGAGAGGAUGACCAGCCACACUGGGACUGAGACACGGCCCAGGCUCCUACGGGAGGCAGCAGUGGGGAAUCUUGGACAAUGGGGGGAAACCCUGAUCCAGCGAUACCGCGUGUGUGAAGAAGGCCUUCGGGUUGUAAAGCACUUUAGGUGGGGAAGAAAAGUAGGCUAUGAAUAAUGGUCUAAUCUGACGGUACCCACAGAAUAAGCACCGGCUAACUCUGUGCCAGCAGCCGCCGUAA